UCAGGUGGGGACUAGCUAACAGUCGUGGGUCGUGGGUCGUGGGUAGAUUGUCGUGGGUCGUGGGUAAAAAGUCGUGGGUCGUGGGUAAAAAGUCGUGGGUCGUGGGUAAAAAGUCGUAAGUCGUGGGUAAAAAGGCGUGGGUCGUGGGUAAAAAGGCGUGGGUCGUGGGUAAAAAGGCGUGGGUCGUGGGUAAAAAGGCGUGGGUCGUGGGUAAAAAGGCGUGGGUCGUGGGUAAAAAGGCGUGGGUCGUGGGUAAAAAGGCGUGGGUCGUGGGUAAAAAGGCGUGGGUCGUGGGUAAAAAGGCGUGGGUCGUGGGUAAAAAAUCGUGGGUCGCGAAUAAAA